AACGAACGCUGGCGGCAUGCCUAACACAUGCAAGUCGAACGAGACCUUCGUGUCUAGUUGCGCACGGGUGCGUAACGCGUGGGAACCUGCCCUUAGGUUCGGAAUAACUCCCCGAAAGGGGUGCUAAUACCGGAUAAUGUCUUCGGACCCAAGAUUCAUCGCGUUUGGAUGAGCCCGCGUUGGUUUAGCUAGUUGGUAGGGUAAAAGCCUACCAAGGCUACGCUCCAUAGCUGGGUUGAGAGGAUGAUCAGCGACACUGGGACUGAGACGCGGCCCAGAAUACUAGGGGAGGGAGCAGUGGGGAAUAUUGGACUACGGGCGAAAGCCUGAUCCAGCAAUGCCGCGUGAGUGAUGAAGGCCUUAGGGUUGUAAAGCUCUUUUACCCGGGAUGAUAAUGACAGUACCGGGAGAAUAAGCUCCGGCUAACUCCGUG
rnacentral:rRNA from 1 species